rnacentral:tRNA from 1 species
CUUUCUGUAUUUCAAUUGGAUAGAAUACGAGCCUCCUAAGCUUGUGAUAUGGGUUCAAAUCCCGUCAGAAAGA